AGCAUAAAAGCCUGCUCUGCUCCAGGCUCUGCAUCUUCCUCUCUUGCUUCCCUUUCCUCUAAGAACAAGCUUUGCCUCGCUCACCGAGAGAUGUCUUGCUUCAGACCAUGUCCCCCACGCCCCUGCGGCACCUGUGGCCCAACGCCACUUGCAAGCAGCUGCAGUGAGCCCUGUGUCGCCCGCUGUGCUGACUCGACCGUUGCCAUCGAGGCCUCCCCGGUGUUGGUGACCCUGCCGGGCCCCAUCCUUACCUCUUUCUCGCAGAGCACAGCCGUGGGAUCCUCUCUGUCAGCUGCGGUUGGGAGCGCCCUCAGCACUGGUGGGGUUCCCAUCUCUUCUGGGGGCUCCCUUGGUCUGGGGGGGUCAGGCCUGUGUCUGCCUCCCCCUCGCUGCAGUUUCAACUGCUGAAGCUGGCCUAUGGAGCCAGAAGGAGCACAGGCACCCUGCAGUAGGAGGAGCAUGGCCACGGCUUCCACAUGGGUUGGGUGUCCUCUUCCCACCUAGCAGGAGGGUCUUGUGUCUGCUACUCCUUGCUCCAGGAUGAGCCUCACGCUGCCUCCUCCAGCUCUGCUUUGCCCUGAGCCCCUGAGAGUAAGGGCUCAUUCUCUUCUGCUUUGCUGAACUUCCUGCUGAUGUGGGGAGUGUUCUGGAGUCAGGGACUGCUCUUGGUGGCCUGGGAUGGCAAUCAGGUGGAGCAGAAUGGAAAAAGGGAAGCUAUUUUUGUGGAGCUCAUCCUUGGGAAACGGGCCGUUCUCUGUGCCUCCGCGAACCCUGCAGACGUCUUUCUUGGUCUCUGUUCUGUGCCCCUGUUUUUGCUCCUUCUGAUUAAAGACUUUGUGCAACACA